GUCGUCCACGAUCCCCACCUAAAGAGAUAACUCCCCAGUUCCUCCAACCUCCCUCAACUCUCCUCUUUCUUCAAUCAUGAAUACUAAAAAGACAAUCAAUACUUUGAAACCAUCUGCAGAGAGGGAAAUAUUUAGGCAAUGUUUCAGAUUCGGAUUAAGAAAAGUCUUCAAUUUCAUCCAGACAUCAUAGAUUUCAUCCGCUCAGAUUAUAUCUCCGCAAGCUGGUAAGAAAUUAAAUUUCUUGUUCCUUUCGAUUCCUGGUGUUCUGUAGUCUUUAAAAUCGUACGAUUACGAGUCUAGUUAAAAAUUUUAAAAACGAUGUGCAUCGUAUGUUUGAAUCGUUUUGAUAAUGAUUCGUGAUAUUAAUUUUUGAAUAGUAUGAUUCAAAUCAAAAUCUGAAUUCAUUCAAAUCACAACUUUGCUAACCAAACACAGAACAAACAAGAAAUCCUUAUAGAUCUCUUUUAGAUUUAUGAAAACCUGAUAACCUAAAACAAUUACAAACUUCAUCUCAUAGCAUGUUAAAAUCAAGUAAAAUUACAAACCCAGAUUCAGUAUUUAUGAAUGCAUGUGUAAGGACAAGGAGCAACAAAGGACUUGUGCCUGUAUUUGAAGCCUUGCCCUAGAAAAGGAGGUUUUCCAUGUUCUCCAACACGUGCAGUUAUAGAAAAUCUUAUUAUGAAGUUUUUCUAUACACUAUGGUUAUGAUAUCUGCAACAGAGAAGCGCAUUGAGUUAAUGCUAAAGGAGCUGGUGAAGAAAUGGACAAGCUACAAGGUUUCUACAAGGUGGUGUUCAAGGUUUUUCCGCUACUGCGACCAUUAUUUUCGCAUUCGGAGGUUGUUUCUAGUAGUAAGUAAAGUUGGGUUCUCUUAUUUCCAUGACUUAAGGACGGAUAUGAGUGAAUGAAUGAAUUAAGGAAUGAAUGAAUGAAUGAUUAUGGUCAGAGUCGGAUGGUAAUAAUGAUUACAAAGGCUCCAGGUUGGUGUGUGCCUUUGUUGGCAGUACGUGGUGACAGGUUCGAAUUCAAUAUUUAUGCUUUAAUUCGUUUUGGUCUCUGCUUUAAUUCGUUUUGGUCUCAAAACUGUAUACAUAUAGGAGUUCAUCUAUAUUUGCGAGAUAAUAAUAAGAUUAAAUUCUUCUUUUUUACAAGUUUUUAUACCAAUGGAGGUCCCUCCAAUUUUUCAGAUGAAUGGUGCAGCGGUGAAACAAGUUAUUCUUCCAACUCCUUGAUUCAGGACUAAUGAGGAACCAAUCUUAAGCGGUCAUCUUCUUCAAAUGUUGGCCAAAACAACGAGGACAAUGCCUCUUUAAGAGGUGAAAUUAAGAAACUGAAGGACCAGGUUGGUACGCAGAACAACAUGAAAGAAAAACUUCUUCAGAUGGAGAAAACUGUAGAUGAGAUGAAAAAGGCUAGCGAAGAAUCAGAAAAAGAUAGAUGCCUUAGUGCUACUAUUAUCUGGUCAGGUUAAUUUCAUUGAAAGAUAUUAAGUUCCAGGCUAUGUUGGAAGAUGUAUGUUGAUUAACUUGGAAGUAAGGAUCUAUCUGUGCUAAUUGGUGUACUUUGGUUUUCCAUGCUCAAUUUGAAUUUUCUCUUGAAACUUGUAUCCGAUUCGAAACGGAAACGGUUUAGUAUCACGCUUUAUUUGCUUUUGUUGAAUGUAAUCAAUCAGAUAACCAUGAUUAGUAUCGAUCAGCUUUUAAACAGCUGCAACGAAAUCUAUGGCAAAUGA